rnacentral:rRNA from 1 species
GAUGAACGCUGGCGGCGUGCCUAAUACAUGCAAGUCGAACGAAACUUCUUUAUCACCGAGUGCUUGCACUCACCGAUAAAGAGUUGAGUGGCGAACGGGUGAGUAACACGUGGGCAACCUGCCCAAAAGAGGGGGAUAACACUUGGAAACAGGUGCUAAUACCGCAUAACCAUAGUUACCGCAUGGUAACUAUGUAAAAGGUGGCUAUACUACCGCUUUUGGAUGGGCCCGCGGCGCAUUAGCUAGUUGGUAGGGUAAAGGCUUACCAAGGCAAUGAUGCGUAGCCGAAUUGAGAGGUUGAUCGGCCACAUUGGGACUGAGACACGGCCCAAACUCCUACGGGAGGCAGCAGUAGGGAAUCUUCCACAAUGGGCGAAAGCCUGAUGGAGCAACGCCGCGUGGGUGAAGAAGGUCUUCGGAUCGUAAAACCCUGUUGUUAGAGAAGAAAGUGCGUGAGAGUAACUGUUCACGUUUCGACGGUAUCUAACCAGAAAACCACGGCUAACUACGU